GUCAACAAUCCAUCCUUAAAUGGGAGGAGCUUGUAGGUAACUACAAGUCGGGUUGACCAAGGAACGUUACGGGGCCGUGGCAAUGCAAAGAAGUAACUACGUGAACGAUAGGCAAGACCAGACCCACUCCGGGAUGCUUCCUCAGUCUGGGGCUCUGGA
rnacentral:sRNA from 1 species